UGUACUCAGCCGCCCCUAAUUCCCCUAUUCUGUCCAGCAGCCCACCUUAAUCCGCCGUCUUCUGCCUACCGGAAUUCGCCUCCCGGCGGCGAAUCAGCGCCAAAUGCUCCCAAAAUCUUACCAAAUACUCCUCACAUACUCAUCAUCCUUAAUCCAUCAUCUAUUUCCCCAAAACCCAUCCAAACUUCUCGAUUAGUGAACCAGAAAAAUAAAAAUUCAACCUUUUCAUCCCCUUUCUGAUUUCUUCCUAAUCUGGCCCUUUUUGGUAGUGACACCUACAUCAAUCGACUGCUUUUGAUGAGAGCAGUUGAUUGAUGUUGGUUCUGACUUAUUUCACGGCGUCUGGAUUCCGGUCAAAUGGCCGUUGACCGGCCAGAGUCGCCUUGAAUCUGUCUCUUCCUCUUUUUAGCGUGUAAUGAGAAUUGUGACAUGAAGCACUAGCCGUUUGAAGAAAUUUCGGCCAAUGCUUAUGUUACAAUUUUCAUUACUUGCCAAAGUCUUUGCUCGCCGGAGUUUAAUUGAUUGCCAUUAGAGUUCAUCUCAUUCGCCGGAACUCUUUGACGUCAAUUGAUGAACCCUGAACAGAUGGAGCACUGGAUGAACUCUAAUCUAGGAGGGCACGGAGAGAUGACUGACCCAGACGGGCAUUGUAUGAAACAUGGAUAGCUGAUGCACCACGAUGAAAUGGACGAGGCAUCUGAGCGGGCCUAUAAGGGCGACCUCUGCUGUGGUAGGACGCCCUCCAGAAGCAACACCGCUGAAACCACCCAAACCAAUGGUUAAUCACUUGAGCUCACCCUCAUAUGAGGCAAUUGGAGAAGGCUGGUUGUUUCAAAAGGCUAUGACAUAUUGGGCUUUCGCUGUAAGCCCACCUACGAACACUUUUAAGCCUGUUGGAGGUCGAAUGGUCUUAACCCAUAGUAGUGCUAUCUUAUGAUGAAUUCUUACUGAAAUAAUUAACUGAAAAAGAUCCACCAAUUAAUUCGCCA